rnacentral:lncRNA from 1 species
AAUUGACCAAGAAAAGUAAAUGUUGACUAAAUUGGAAAAGGUAAAAUGGUAACUUGAUAAUUACCAUAUUAAAUAAAUUGAAAAAAAAUCAAAAAAUCAAAAAAAAAUAAAACAAUAAGAAAAUAAAUUAAAAAAGGGUUGUCUUCUUCAACCACCCCAUUCCACCCAACCCAACCCAGAAGCUCGAUUCCAUUGCCCCCAAUCUAACUAUCGGCAGCCUCUCACACAAAUCUAAGAAGGGAAGAAGUCUGGUAUCUCUUUGCACAACUUCACCAUUAAAUCGUACCCAACAAAUCCUCCAAAAAUCUCUCAAUCGAUGGCUGAAUAAAUUUGACGUUGGAACUCAAAUCCGAAGCCCCUGCCAACACCAAACCUAUUCUAUCUUCAUCCAUUUUUUGCCCUCUUUCUGUAUAUAUCUCUACUGUUUCUGCUUCAUCUAAUGAUUUGAAGAGAACGAGGGAUUCGAAAGGUGCAAUGAGGAAGGUCGGGGACUCGAUGUGUGUAGGGUUUUGGGGAGGCAAAAUCCAGGUGAUUGUGGUGCAAAAUAAAUAUUUGCUGCAACAGAUCGGAAUGGUCGUGCCAUAACAGAGACAGAACAACUAAAACGGACCAAAAUCAAUCUAUUUCUCCUCAUCCAUAUUAUAAAAUUAUCCUUGGUGUCUUCUUCCUCGCAAGAACUGGAGAAUCAAUUCGUCAGUUACCUCCUUAAAGUCCAUCAAAUCGCACAUUUCUUGGCCUUUAUAACCCUCAUUCGCACUCGAAGCGCCAUGUCUCGUUCAGCUCCUCCAAUUCUCAUGGAUUUACCUCCUUUCAUGGAUUUACCUCAUUUUCUUGUUGAUGAGUAUUGUUGGGUGGGCAGUGGUGGUAAUGCUGGCGGGUAGUGGUGGCUGCCGGCGAUGAAUGUGGUGGUUGGGUGGAGUGGUUUUGAUUUGGCAAAGAAGGAGAUGGUUUUAUUAUUUUUCUAAUUUUUUAUUUAAUAGGGAAAAUGUAUUAUGUCCAAAAUGUCCUUACCUUAGUUUGGGGAAAUAAUUAAAUUUUUAAUUUUUGAGGUCAAC